GGUUAAGCGAACAAGCGUACACGGUGGAUGCCCUGGCAGUCAGAGGCGAUGAAGGACGUGCUAAUCUGCGAAAAGCGCCGGUAAGGUGAUAUGAACCGUUAUAACCGGCGAUGUCCGAAUGGGGAAACCCGGUGCACUUCGGUGCAUCAUCGUUAGCUGAAUACAUAGGCUAACGAGGCGAACCGGGGGAACUGAAACAUCUAAGUACCCCGAGGAAAAGAAAUCAACCGAGAUUCCCCCAGUAGCGGCGAGCGAACGGGGAACAGCCCAGAGCCUGAAUCAGCUUGUGUGUCAGUGGAACGGUCUGGAAAGGCCGGCGAUACAGGGUGACAGCCCCGUACACGAAGGCACACAGGCUGUGAGCUCGAUGAGUAGGGCGGGACACGUGAUAUCCUGUCUGAAGAUGGGGGGACCAUCCUCCAAGGCUAAAUACUCCUGACUGACCGAUAGUGAACCAGUACCGUGAGGGAAAGGCGAAAAGAACCCCGGCGAGGGGAGUGAAACAGAACCUGAAACCGUGUACGUACAAGCAGUGGGAGCCUUCGUAAGAGGGUGACUGCGUACCUUUUGUAUAAUGGGUCAGCGACUUAUAUUCUGUAGCAAGGUUAACCGUAUAGGGGAGCCGAAGGGAAACCGAGUCUUAAUUGGGCGUUAAGUUGCAGGGUAUAGACCCGAAACCCGGUGAUCUAGCCAUGGGCAGGUUGAAGGUUGGGUAACACUAACUGGAGGACCGAACCGACUAAUGUUGAAAAAUUAGCGGAUGACCUGUGGCUGGGGGUGAAAGGCCAAUCAAACCGGGAGAUAGCUGGUUCUCCCCGAAAGCUAUUUAGGUAGCGCCUCGUGAACUCAUCUUCGGGGGUAGAGCACUGUUUCGGCUAGGGGGCCAUCCCGGCUUACCAACCCGAUGCAAACUGCGAAUACCGAAGAAUGUUAUCACGGGAGACACACGGCGGGUGCUAACGUGCGUCGUGAAGAGGGAAACAACCCAGACCGCCAGCUAAGGUCCCAAAGUCAUGGUUAAGUGGGAAACGAUGUGGGAAGGCACAGAC
rnacentral:rRNA from 1 species